rnacentral:rRNA from 1 species
UACGUAGGUAGCGAGCGUUAUUCGGAUUUAUUGGGCGUAAAGGGUCCGCAGGGGGUUCUUCAAGUCUGAUGUGAAAUCCCGGGGCUCAACCCCGGAACUGCAUUGGAAACUAAAGAACUAGAGUAUCGGAGAGGUAAGUGGAAUUUCAGGUGUAGCGGUGGAAUGCGUAGAUAUCUGAAAGAACACCAAGAGCGAAGGCAGCUUACUGGACGAUUACUGACCCUCAGGGACGAAAGCAUAGGGAGCGAACAGG